UACGUAGGGAGCAAGCGUUGUCCGGAUUCAUUGGGCGUAAAGCGCGCGUAGGCGGUUUGGUAAGUCCGCCGUGAAAGUCAAAGGCUCAACCUUUGAAUGUCGAUGGAUACUGCCGGGCUAGAGUCCGGAAGAGGCGAGUGGAAUUCCUGGUGUAGCGGUGGAAUGCGCAGAUAUCAGGAGGAACACCAAUAGCGGAGGCAGCUCGCUGGGACGGUACUGACGCUAAGGCGCGAAAGCGUGGGGAGCGAACAGG
rnacentral:rRNA from 1 species